UGGGAGUAAUGGUGUGUUUGUGGAUACAUCUUUAAAUUCAGCAAAAAAACAAGAAGAUGAAGAUAAUGAAGAUGAUGAAGAUGAAAAGCUAAAGAAGAUUGAAAAGAUGAAGGCUCCUACAAUUGCUAGGACCAACAAUGAAAGAAAUGAAGAUGUUGAAGAUUGAAAUGAUGAUAAUGAUGAAGAGUACCAAUCAUUGAGUGAAAAACAACAAGGUUUAAGAAAAAAGAAGGUUGAAAAAGAACAUGGACUACAACAAAGUGAAUAUUCUUCAAUAAGUGAAAGAAAAUAUCCUUUGAGAGAAAGAAGGUAACAUG
rnacentral:lncRNA from 1 species